AACGAACGCUGGCGGCAUGCCUAACACAUGCAAGUCGAACGAGGGUCUCGCUUCGGUGGGGCCCUAGUUGCGCACGGGUGAGUAACGCGUGGGAACCUGCCCUGUGGUACGGAAUAACUCCGGGAAACUGGAGCUAAUACCGUAUGCGUCCUGCGGGACAAAGAUUUAUCGCCAUGGGAUGGGCCCGCGUAGGAUUAGCUGGUUGGUGGGGUAACGGCCUACCAAGGCCACGAUCCUUAGCUGAUCUGAGAGGAUGAUCAGCCACACUGGGACUGAGACACGGCCCAGACUCCUACGGGAGGCAGCAGGGGGGAAGAUUGGACAAUGGGCGCAAGCCUGAUCCAGCGAUGCCGCGUGAGUGAUGAAGGCCUUCGGGUUGUAAAGCUCUUUCGCACGCGACGAUGAUGACGGUAGCGUGAGAAGAAGCCCCGGCUAACUUCGUGCCAGCCGCCGCGGUAAAAC
rnacentral:rRNA from 1 species